rnacentral:rRNA from 1 species
AUUGAACGCUGGCGGCAGGCCUAACACCUGCAAGUCGAGCGGAGCGGCGGACGGGUGAGUAAUGCCUAGGAAUAUGACUGGUCGUGGGGGAUAACGUCCGGACACGGGCGCUAAUACCGCAUACUAUCAGAUGAGCCUAGGUCGGAGUAGCUAGUGGGUGGGGGAAAGGCCUACCAAGGCGACGAUCCGUAACUGGUCUGAGAGGAUGAUCAGUCACACCGGAACGUGUACACGUUCCAGACUCCUACGGGAUGCAUCAGUGGGGAAUAUUGGACAAUGGGCGAAAGCCUGAUCCAUCCAUGCCGCGUGUGUGAAGAAGGUCUUCGGAUUUUACAGCACUUUAAGUUGGGAGGCGUUACCAACAGAAUAAGCACCGGCUAACUUCGUGCCAGCAGCCGCGGUAAUUC